rnacentral:sRNA from 1 species
UCUCAGUUGUGAAACUUCCUCGAGCCAGU